rnacentral:lncRNA from 1 species
CUCCACCAACGCUAUCCCAUUUCUCAGCAAUCUCCACCUCUGAAUCCUUCCCUCUCUCAAACUCUCUAGAAAAUUCCUUAACCCUAGCUGCCUCUUACCGUCUUCAACCUGGAAAUCCACAAGAAUCCAUGGCUUCUCAGGCCAUGGGAGCCCUAUACUCACCUCUCCUUGCUGUUAUACGCCUGCUACAUGAAGAUUCGAGGCCUGACCUUGAAGGUUCUCACUCAGAUCUCCGCAAUUCAAGAUUCCACGGCCCUCGCUCUCCGUUUUUGUUCCGGCGUACUAUGGUCGUCUGAGCCUAUUUCUGAGCUUCUAAGACUCAGAUCAGUGUCUUGUUCAAAGCCUUUUUCAUUUAGGAUUCUUUUGAAACAUUAACUUUUCAAUGUUUUCUCUGACUUUUCUCAAAUCUGUUGUGCAUCCAUGCUCUACUUGAGUUUUCAAAUGAUUUCCUCCACUUUUCAUUCAAAAAUUCUUUCAAAAUCGUUUAUUUUUUAUUUAGGGUUUUCCUGGAAAUGCUUAAGUGUUUUCUGAAUCUCCUUUUCCUUUAUGUGUACUUCUACCGUGUUCUAGUAUUUUUUUCUUUUACCAUGAUCUUGUGUGAUAACUCACCGUGUUUUCCUAUAUGCUUUUCUGCUACACCUUUUUCUAUUUUGUCAUGUUUUCCUUCUACCAUACUUUCUACAUUUCGUUCUUGUUUCUACUGUGUUUUCUAUGCUAUGGCCUCGUAUUUUUUUAUUAUGUUCUGAUAUUUUUUUCUACCAUGUUCUUUUAUUUUUCACCUUCCAUAUUUUUCUACCGUUCCUUAAAUGAUUACUGUUUUCUUUUCUAUUGAACCCUGUUUAAGUUUCUUCUGAAAGGAUUUUCUUAAACAUGCUUCUUCUACUAUCAGUUGUUCUCUCAUUAUGCUUCGAGUUAGUCCCUACACUCUGUUCGCUUUGAUCUUUCUACUUGUUUGCAUGUUUUCUCAUGAGUUUCUGAAAGAAACCUCUAAGCAUGUUUCGACUACUUGCCUCCUCAUCUUUGUAUUGGAUUCAAGGUGAAAACCCAAGAAUUUGGGGAUUUCGCCGAGGUUUGAUUAUGUGAACUAGGGUUUUAUUUUUUAGAACCCUUAACUCUUU